AUGCUCUGUUCUCCCCUGUUCUCCUCUGUUCUCCCCUGCCCUACCCUGUUCUACCCUGUUCUACCCUGCUAUACCCUGUUCUACCCUGCUCUUCUCUACCCUGUUAUGCUCUGUUCUCCCCUGUUCUCCUCUGUUCUCCCCUGCCCUACCCUGUUCUACCCUGUUCUACCCUGUUAUGCUCUGUUCUCCCCUGUUCUCCUCUGUUCUCCCCUGCCCUACCCUGUUCUACCCUGUUCUACCCUGCUCUACCCUGUUAUGCUCUGUUCUCCCCUGUUCUCCCCUGCCCUACCCUGUUAUAUCCUGUUGUGUUCUACCCUGUUCUGUGUGGCUGUCUUUGUCUGUCUGGUCUGGGUACAGUGCGUGUGUGUGUGUGUGUGUGUGUGUGUGUGUGUGUGUGUGUGUGUGUGUGUGUGUGUGUGCCAGCUGGCUGUUCUGCUUGACUGCAAGAACACAGAGAGGGUGUUGCAUCAUCAAACACUGAUCCUGGGUAGCAGCCUGAGAAAGAGGAGAAAAUAUGGUAGUCUGUCAGACUACAGUAGGCCAGCUGGUCUAGGUAGCUGUAUGUCUGGGGGUGAUAGUCUGUCAGACUACAGUAGGCCAGCUGGUCUAGGUAGCUGUAUGUCUGGGGGUGGUAGUCUGUCAGACUACAGUAGGCCAGCUGGUCUAGGUAGCUGUAUGUCUGGGGGUGGUAGUCUGUCAGACUACAGUAGGCCAGCUGGUCUAGGUAGCUGUAUGUCUGGGGGUGGUAGUCUGUCAGACUACAGUAGGCCAGCUGGUCUAGGUAGCUGUAUGUCUGGGGGUGGUAGUCUGUCAGACUACAGUAGGCCAGCUGGUCUAGGUAGCUGUAUGUCUGGGGGUGGUAGUCUGUCAGACUACAGUAGGCCAGCUGGUCUAGGUAGCUGUAUGUCUGGGGGUGGUAGUCUGUCAGACUACAGUAGGCCAGCUGGUCUAGGUAGCUGUAUGUCUGGGGGUGGUAGUCUGUCAGACUACAGUAGGCCAGCUGGUCUAGGUAGCUGUAUGUCUGGGGGUGGUAGUCUGUCAGACUACAGUAGGCCAGCUGGUCUAGGUAGCUGUAUGUCUGGGGGUGGUAGUCUGUCAGACUACAGUAGGCCAGCUGGUCUAGGUAGCUGUAUGUCUGGGGGUGGUAGUCUGUCAGACUACUCUCUCUCUGUCUCUCUUUCUGGCUUUUUUUUAUUUAGCUGA
rnacentral:lncRNA from 8 species